UACGUAGGGGGCAAGCGUUGUCCGGAAUCAUUGGGCGUAAAGCGCGCGUAGGCGGCCCGGUAAGUCCGCUGUGAAAGUCAAAGGCUCAACCUUUGAAUGUCAGCGGAUACUGCCGGGCUAGAGUCCGGAAGAGGCGAGUGGAACUCCUGGUGUAGCGGUGGAAUGCGCAGAUAUCAGGAAGAACACCCGUGGCGAAAGCGGCUCUCUGGAACGGUACUGACGCUGAGACGCGAAAGCGUGGGGAGCGAACAGG
rnacentral:rRNA from 1 species